rnacentral:rRNA from 1 species
GGGGAAUUUUCCGCAAUGGGCGAAAGCCUGACGGAGCAAGACCGCGUGAGGGAAGAAGGCCCUUGGGUUGUAAACCUCUUUUCUCAAGGAAGAAGAAAGUGACGGUACUUGAGGAAUAAGCAUCGGCUAACUCCGUGCCAGCAGCCGCGGUAAGACGGAGGAUGCAAGCGUUAUCCGGAAUUAUUGGGCGUAAAGGGUCCGCAGGUGGUUUCUCAAGUCGGCAGUCAAAGACCGGAGCUUAACUUCGGAAAGGCUGUGGAAACUGAGAGACUAGAGAGAGGUAGGGGUAAGGGGAAUUCCCGGUGUAGCGGUGAAAUGCGUAGAGCUCGGGAAGAACACCGGUGGCGAAAGCGCCUUACUGGACCUCAUCUGACACUCAGGGACGAAAGCUAGGGGAGCGAAAGGGAUUAGAUACCCCAGUAGUC